UAGGGAAUCUUCGGCAAUGGACGAAAGUCUGACCGAGCAACGCCGCGUGAGUGAAGAAGGUUUUCGGAUCGUAAAACUCUGUUGUUAGAGAAGAACAAGGACGUUAGUAACUGAACGUCCCCUGACGGUAUCUAACCAGAAAGCCACGGCUAACUACGUGCCAGCAGCCGCGGUAAUACGUAGGUGGCAAGCGUGGUCCGGAUUUAUUGGGCGUAAAGCGAGCGCAGGCGGUUUCUUAAGUCUGAUGUGAAAGCCCCCGGCUCAACCGGGGAGGGUCAUUGGAAACUGGGAGACUUGAGUGCAGAAGAGGAGAGUGGAAUUCCAUGUGUAGCGUUGAAAUGCGUAGAUAUAUGGAGGAACACCAGUGGCGAAGGCGGCUCUCUGGUCUGUAACUGACGCUGAGGCUCGAAAGCGUGGGGAGCAAACAGG
rnacentral:rRNA from 1 species